ensembl:lncRNA
UUUAUUUUGUUCUGCACUUUGUCUUUAUUGGAAAAUAAAUACACACUUUCUGUAUAAAUACCAUGGCUGUGUAGUCUUUUCUUUAAACUGUACAAGAGGCAAGCAGACAGAGGAACAAAGGCAGCGGGCUGUUGAGGUAAAACAACUGUAAAGGGAAUAAAAUAAGAUAAUAAAAAUGGAUAAAAACAAUUCUGGAAAUGUACUGUGCAGUGAUGUUUCAGCAUACAGUGUUGAUGUUAAAACACGAGUGCUUCUGAGGGAAUUAUUUUAAAUUCAGGUCAAGUAGAGCUCAAGACCGUCUUUCAAACGCUGUCAGUCACAACACCAGCAGAUAUCAGCAGGAUGAAGGGUCUCAAUCUUAACUAGGACCGCCUAGACUUCAUGACAUGUCACUUAUGAAGUCAUAAAUGCUGUUUUGAAAGGUCAUAUAGACCUGCAUUUGGCAAUCUCCAAAAAUAUACUCCACUGUAGUGUUUCGUGAUGUUUUUAAAGCAUUAUAGAUUUGCAGCCUUCACUGGUGAUGGUUAACAAAUGUAUAAAAUUACUACAUUACUAAACUGUACCACUGGGAUUUUUGUGUUGAUAUACUACUAUAGUAUUAUUCAUAUUUUGUAUGGGCUUUUUUAUCUUUAUAUUUUAUAAAAUAUGUUUUUAUUUUAAUUUUAUGUGCUUUUGUACUUUUUAUUUUUUUUAAAAAAUACUUCUCUUAAGCUCUUUUAUUAUUCGUUUUAGUAAUUUUAGUACUUCAGCGUAAACUUAUUUCAGCUAAUUGCCAAGGCAACAUUUCUCUUUUUUUUUUUCUAAGUUUUGAAGUUGAAGAUCUUCAUCUAACAUUUAUUACCAUUUACCAAAUCUUGUUAAGGUUGUUACUAAACCUCAAUGAAAUUGAAAAUGAACAGAAAAUAAAACCAUUACAUUGGCCUUCUGAGGUUGGCAAUUGACAAAAAGCAUUAAAUUUAAGACUUUCAUGAUGAAUCCUGAACAUGCAAUCUUGAUUCUGUCAAUGUGUUUGGGUACUUGUGAGUAAGCAUAUGUUUAUGCAUGUUUGAAGGUCGGUACGGUCAGACAUGCUUUGUUCUUUGAUCUGUAUUCCUGUCCACCAAUGAAAACACAAUAGCUCUGCAGCUCCACACGUGUGCUACAGAGAACUGAUCUCCAUUUGAAGAGCUGCGUCAUUGGGAUGAGAUGCUGGUGCAAAGACCCCUCUCUCUCUCCUUGGAAGCCUUUCAUACUGAUACCUUUGUGCAUUCAGGACUUUGCCGUGAACGCUCUGCAUCAGUGGGACGAGCAAUAAAGAAAAGCUUUGACAAAAGAGUACAUUUCAUUCCUACUGCUGUCAGACAGGUGUGUGCAGAACUGAGAUUUCAGGGGAUAAAUUUGACUGGAUAAAUGCUUUAGCCUACUGCAUUCAGAUGACUGAUGAAAGCACAGAUAUACCCAACUGCAGGAAGUAAAAGAGACAAGGAUAAAACAAAUAAGCAACAAAACAAACAGGUGAUAAAAUCAUGGAUUUGGAGCAACAAAUCCAUUACAUUCACAGCAAAAAACGAUUUUCUUACACAGUUUUUUUGUCUUGUUUUCUAGUACAAUAUCUAAAAAUUCCUAAAUGUUACUUACUUGAAAAACAAAAUGACUUAAAAAGAAAAAGAAAAAUAAUCUUGUAUAUAUAUAAAAAAUAAUCUUGUAUAUACAUAUAU